UACAGAGGGUGCGAGCGUUGUCCGGAAUCACUGGGCGUAAAGGGCGCGUAGGCGGCCUGCUAAGUAGAGGGUGAAAUCCUGCGGCUCAACCGCAGGGCUGCCUUCUAAACUGUCAGGCUGGAGCACGGUAGAGGCAGAUGGAAUUCCCGGUGUAGCGGUGGAAUGCGUAGAGAUCGGGAAGAACACCAGUGGCGAAGGCGGCUUCCUGGCCUGUUCUUGACGCUGAGGCGCGAAAGCUAGGGUAGCAAACGGG
rnacentral:rRNA from 1 species